rnacentral:rRNA from 1 species
GGACAACAGUUGGAAACGACUGCUAAUACCGCAUAACAUGUAGGUGUCGCAUGGCAUUUACAUCAAAGAUUUAUCGCUGAGAGAUGGCCUCGCGUCUGAUUAGCUAGUUGGUAGGGUAACGGCCUACCAAGGCGACGAUCAGUAGCCGGACUGAGAGGUUGGCCGGCCACAUUGGGACUGAGAUACGGCCCAGACUCCUACGGGAGGCAGCAGUGGGGAAUAUUGGGCAAUGGGCGCAAGCCUGACCCAGCAACGCCGCGUGAAGGAAGAAGGCUUUCGGGUUGUAAACUUCUUUUGUCAGGGAAGAGUAGAAGACGGUACCUGACGAAUAAGCCACGGCUAACUACGUGCCAGCAGCCGCGGUAAUACGUAGGUGGCAAGCGUUGUCCGGAUUUACUGGGUGUAAAGGGCGUGUAGCCGGGUUGACAAGUCAGAUGUGAAAUCCUGCGGCUUAACCGCAGAACUGCAUUUGAAACUGUUGAUCUUGAGUACUGGAGAGGCAGACGGAAUUCCUAGUGUAGCGGUGAAAUGCGUAGAUAUUAGGAGGAACACCAGUGGCGAAGGCGGUCUGCUGGACAGCAACUGACGGUGAGGCGCGAAAGCGUGGGGAGCAAACAGGACUAGAUACCCUGGUAGUCCACGCUGUAAACGAUGGAUAGUAGGUGUGCGGGGACUGACCCCUUGCGUGCCGCAG